rnacentral:lncRNA from 1 species
GGGUUGAGCCCUUGGAUUGGAUGAGAAAGGAAGGUCAGGUUGGCACUGACACCUGAGAGAGGUCAUGACCUAAGGAGAGAGACACUAAUAAAGCCCCUAGAGGAGCUUAAUCUAUGGAUCUUAGGCAUAAUCUAAUUUUAUAUAAAUUUUUAAAUUUUCUGUACUUAUUGCUGGUUUAACCAAAUCUUCUUGCUGGUUUAACCAAACAAUAACCAGCAAUAAUAUUUGGUUAAACAUGAUUGUCUGUUUUCGAAGCCAUGCUUUGGAAAAUGAGGGGUGGAUCUGUGUCCCACUUGGGAGAAGUAGGGAAAGGAAGAGGGUGGCCAUGUGGGGAGACACAGGGGUGGGUGAGGAGUCAGGAGGUGAUAAGGUACAGCUGGGAUAGGUUUGUAGAACUUUCAAGCAUUCCUUGGAGGUUCUAAAAAUAAUCAGGGAAGAAUCAUACAGGGUGCGCUUCUGUGGUUAAGUGGAUUGGGAUUGGAGCCAUUGCUGUCCAGGCCUUGGAAAGAAGUGCCACCAUGGACACGUAGUGGGAUAGCAGACAGCUGGAUUAAACAUUUGACCAAAAGAAAAAGGCCCCAAACUUUUCCCCUCUUUAAAAGUUUUACACUUCAAUAUCAAUUCUAGUCAUCAAUUAAAUCAAUAUGAAUAAUUAUUUAAUUAUUUGUUCCAGUCGAUUGGCUCACACAGUGUCUUGAGACAGCUCGUUUUCCACUUUUUCUCUUUCUUCUUCUCUGUUCAAACCAAAGGGCUCAUUCAGGCAUUGGCUGGACUCAGACAGUCAUUUCCAUGUCUGCAGCCUGGAGUGUCUCCCCCCCACCCCACCCCGGAAACAAUGUGUUUCCCUGAGAUCAGAACAGACACUUGCAAGGCUGAGAUCUCUGAAGCAAGUUUCUCCCUUCACCAUUACCCUUUAACUAAUAUAACCCCUUAUCUCGUACCAUUUUCUCAGCAUCCUAGAGGGCAACCAGACACAAUAACCCAGGGGAGUCAAUGUGAGAAAGUGGCCAUCAGUAGCGAGUAACCCAUGGAGAUGGCGUGGGGUCGUGUUGCAGCUUUAAAGACUAACCUAUCUCUUAGUAGUCAUGACCCUUUUUAGAAAUCUGGGUAAACUUUUAUAAAAGCUAAAGUUUCCUUGAUGAGCUAAUUCCUGGAAAAAUGUUAUUGGCCAGAUGGCAUCUUCCAGGCAAUAUUCUAGUUCAAAGGGAACUCAAAAAAGGAAAAAUCUUUAAAGAAUCAUCAGCCAAAAAAGUCAUUGUAUUUUGCGCUGGUCUCAGGUCCUCAGCCUAUUACCAAAAGAGACUGGCAGAGGAGGUUGUCUGGUGCUACUGGGGUCAGGAGCUCUUUCUUUGCGAUCACCUGUGGUGGAUGUCAUCGCAGAUGGGUUUCUGUCUGUGCUUUGGUGAAACUUGUUACCUAAUUUUUACCCACUGUUGGGACUAGAAAUCUAGAAAAGAAAAAAAGUCAUUCUACACCAAUUAGUUGCGAUCAACUGAAAGAACAAGAUGAUGAAGGAAAUAUCAAGUAAUCCAAUAAAUUUGAGGUUUAAAAAAAAAACACCUUAUCUUGGGGAAGGAUGCAAUCUCAAUUUUUUUUUUUAACAAAAAUUUACUUUCUAUGCUAUGGUUGCCACUGUUGCUGCUGCUGUUUUUAGCAUUUCCUGUUCUGUUUUGAGAAUAGGAAAUAACAGGCUUCUGAAACCUUAUUAACAUUCAUCAACAAAAAGCAUAGAAGAUUUGAGGUUAGAGAGACAUGGGAAGGUAUUGUGUCCCUGCCAUUUAUUUUGUGUGUGACCUUGGAAAACUUAUGUACACUCUCCAAGCUUACCUUUCAUCAUCUAUAAUUAUGCCUCUCUCACUGGGUUUUGAGAGAAGUAAGACACUCAAGUAUAGAUCACUUAAUGAUCUGGUACAUAUUAGAAGCAAUAAAUCUCAGCGGUUAUCAUUACUACCACUAUAAUUUUUUACUCACAAAAAUUAGAAGAGCAGAUACAUAGUAUAAUAAAAUCUUGGAACUGGAAUCAUAAUUGCCCAUUCUAGCCACUUAUAUGUAUCAAUUUUAUUUGAAAAUUCCUAAGGAAUAUCCUGAUUCCCCAAACACAAUAUAUAAAGACAUUCAUAUUCACAACACGACUUUCUUCUACAGACUGUGGAGUAGAAGCAGUCUACUGUAGCCCCUGCUCCCAGGAGCUGGCCGGGCACUCACAACCAAGUCAUGGCAUUCUGUGGUUGAACAUAAACAACUUCAUAUCAAAUCAUUUUCAGACAAAAGCAUGAACAUUAUCCAAACCAAAAAAUGACCAAACACCCCCCUAUUCUGUAAAACAGAAGUGAUUGUUGAUUCUUUAUCAAUCACAUUAGCCUCGUUUCAUUCUUCUCACCUUUAAGAGGUAGUAGGUGCAAAAUCACAAAAACUGCUGCUGCUUCCUGCUUCCUGGCAGCAUUCAAUCCAAAGAAAACCCCACUUCCUCUCAACCUUCUCUGAUUCUUGAAGAUACUUUAUUUCCUUUAGAAGUUUGCAGACACUGAUCUGCUAUUUAUGACAUUGUUACUGAAGAGAUGUCUCUGGGAUCAACUGAAUUAUUUCUGCCUCUUUGGAAAUUUAUUUUUCUAUUUGUAGGUAAACAAAAUUCUUUUUUUUUGUUGUUGCUGUUGGUUCUUGAAGAUCUCAGGAAAUAGCUUGGUAUUGAUUAUUCUGUAUCAGUUUUUCUGGGUUGAGAUUUUUCAUUCAACCUGUAGAUUCAAUUGUAUCAAUUAUUCCAGAAGAGUUUUCUUCUAUUGUACCACUGAAUAUUUUUCUCCAUUUCACAUGUUCUGUUUCAUUCUUUAGAAAUUCCAUUCAUGUGUGUGUUGGAUCUCCUCAGUUUGGUUGUUUGACUCUUAUCAACCUCUGUCAAAUGACUUGCUUUUCCUAUAGCCACUCCUGACAUAUAGUCAAAUCUUGUUCUUCUAAUGACAGCAUCCUUGGAUGAGCCUUUUUGGAUG